rnacentral:rRNA from 1 species
GAUGAACGCUGGCGGCGUGCCUAACACAUGCAAGUCGAGCGAACCCUUCGGGGUGAGCGGCGGACGGGAGAGUAACGCGUGGGUAACCUGCCCUGUACACAAGGAUAACAUACCGAAAGGUAUGCUAAUACGAGAUAAUAUAUUUUAAUCGCAUGGUUAAGAUAUCAAAGCUCCGGCGGUACAGGAUGGACCCGCGUCUGAUUAGCUAGUUGGUGAGGUAAUGGCUCACCAAGGCGACGAUCAGUAGCCGACCUGAGAGGGUGAUCGGCCACACUGGAACUGAGACACGGUCCAGACUCCUACGGGAGGCAGCAGUGGGGAAUAUUGCACAAUGGGCGAAAGCCUGAUGCAGCAACGCCGCGUGGGCGAUGAAGGCCUUCGGGUCGUAAAGCUCUGUCCUCAAGGAAGAUAAUGACGGUACUUGAGGAGGAAGCCCCGGCUAACUACGUGCCAGCCGCCGCAGUAA